rnacentral:ncRNA from 1 species
CGGGCGGUAGACUCCGUCCAAGGCUAAAUACAGGCGAGAGACCGAUAGCGAACAAGUACCGCGAGGGAAAGAUGAAAAGGACUUUGAAAAGAGAGUCAAAGAGUGCUUGAAAUUGCCGGGAGGGAAGCGGAUCGGGGCCGGCGAUGCGCCCCGGCCGUAUGCGGAACGGCUCUUGCUGGUCCGCCGCUCGGCUCGGGGUGUGGACUGUUGUCGGCCGCGUCGGCGGCCAAAGCCCGGGGGCCCUAGGUGCC